rnacentral:rRNA from 1 species
UACGGAGGGAGCUAGCGUUGCUCGGAAUUACUGGGCGUAAAGCGUGCGUAGACGGUUAUUUAAGUCGGGUGUGAAAGCCCCGGGCUCAACCUGGGAAUUGCAUUCGAGACUGAAUAGCUAGGGUACGGUAGAGGGAAGUGGAAUUUCCGGUGUAGCGGUGAAAUGCGUAGAUAUCGGAAGGAACAUCAGUGGCGAAAGCGACUUCCUGGACCAGUACCGACGUUCAGGCACGAAAGCGUGGGGAGCAAACAGG